UGGGAGGUCGUUCAAUGGUAGGACACGCGGCUCUGAACCGUGCAAUCGGGGUUCGAAUCCCUGCCUCCCAGCCA
rnacentral:tRNA from 2 species